GUCUUAAAGAAUUUUAAUUUUAAGUCAAAUCUGCUCAAUGAAUUAUUAUUUAAAUAGCUGCAGUAUCAAUAACUGUACAAAGGUAGCAUAAUAAUUUGUUUUUUAAUUUAAAACUAGAAUGAAUGAUUUUAUGAAAUAUAAACUGUCUCAAAUUAAAUAAAUAAAUUUAUUUUUUAAGUUAAAAAACUUAAAUUUUUUUUAAAGACGAAAAGACCCUAAGAAUUUUUAUAUUUAAUUUUUAUAUUUCAUUAAAUAAAAUUAAAUAAUUUAAUUGGGGAAAUUUUAAAAUUUAAUUAAUUUUUAAUUAAUAAAAACAAUUAUUUUUGUAUAAUUACAAAUUUUUAAAAAAAUAAAAUUAAAUUACCUUAGGGAUAACAGCAUAAUUUUUUUUUAAAGUUCAAAUUAAUAAUAAAGUUUAU
rnacentral:rRNA from 1 species